rnacentral:rRNA from 1 species
AACGCGAAGAACCUUACCUACCCUUGACAUGUCAGGAAUCCUGUAGAGAUACGGGAGUGCCGCAAGGAACCUGAACACAGGUGCUGCAUGGCUGUCGUCAGCUCGUGUUGUGAGAUGUUGGGUUAAGUCCCGUAACGAGCGCAACCCUUAUCUUUAGUUGCCAUCAUUAAGUUGGGGACUCUAAAGAGACUGCUGGUGAUGAACCGGAGGAAGGCGGGGACGACGUCAAGUCAUCAUGGCCUUUAUGGGGUAGGGCUACACACGUGCUACAAUGGGGCAUACAGAGGGACGCCAACCCGCGAGGGGGAGCCAAUCCCAGAAAGUGCUUCGUAGUCCGGAUCGGAGUCUGCAACUCGACUCCGUGAAGUCGGAAUCGCUAGUAAUCGCGGAUCAGAAUGCCGCGGUGAAUACGUUCCCGGGCCUUGUACACACCGUAGUAC